CCUAACCUGGACAUCACUAGAUACCUACGCUAGUAUAAAAUGAAAGCAAAACAACCACAUUGGGGAUAGCGAGGGAGAGAGGAGGAGAAUUCCAUUCACUAGUGUCAGCAUGCCAGUACAAAAGCGGAAUGGCCAUCAGAAUAAGGAGAGAGAAGAAGGGGAAGUUCUCUGUACAAGAUUUGUGUGCCUCAACUGACAUGCUUCUGUACUACAGUCAAGAUCUGACUUAUACAGGUUGAAACUGGAUGAACAGUACUGGUGAGUGAGUGAGAGAGAACAAAAGAAAGAAAAAGAAA